AUAAUGAUACUCCUGUACAGCCACAGUCCGAGCGUUAGCCGCCACAGGCAAUGGGUAUAGCUGCAUGAGAACCAUGCAGGGGUGAGAUUCCCGUGA
rfam:Virgibacillus soli strain PL205 scaffold000047, whole genome shotgun sequence.